rnacentral:rRNA from 1 species
GACGAACGCUGGCGGCGUGCUUAACACAUGCAAGUCGAACGGAAAGGCCCUUCGGGGUACUCGAGUGGCGAACGGGUGAGUAACACGUGGGUGAUCUGCCCUGCACUUUGGGAUAAGCCUGGGAAACUGGGUCUAAUACCGAAUAGGACCAUGGCCUUCAUGGGUUGUGGUGGAAAGCUUUUGCGGUGUGGGAUGGGCCCGCGGCCUAUCAGCUUGUUGGUGGGGUAAUGGCCGACCAAGGCGACGACGGGUAGCCGGCCUGAGAGGGGGACGGGCCACACAGGGAGUGAGAUUCGGACCAGACUCCUACGGGAGGCAGCAGUGGGGAGUAUUGCACAAUGGGGGCAAGGCUGAUGCAGCGACGCCGCGUGAGGGAUGACGGCCUUCGGGUUGUAAACCUCUUUCAGCAGGGACGAAGCGCAAGUGACGGUACCUGUAGAAGAAGGACCGGCCAACUACGUGCCAGCCGCCGCCGUAACAC